AUUGAACGCUGGCGGCAUGCUUUACACAUGCAAGUCGAACGGUAACAGGCCGCAAGGUGCUGACGAGUGGCGAACGGGUGAGUAAUGCAUCGGAACGUGCCCAGUCGUGGGGGAUAACUACUCGAAAGAGUAGCUAAUACCGCAUACGAUCUAUGGAUGAAAGCGGGGGACCGUAAGGCCUCGCGCGAUUGGAGCGGCCGAUGUCAGAUUAGGUAGUUGGUGGGGUAAAGGCUCACCAAGCCAACGAUCUGUAGCUGGUCUGAGAGGACGACCAGCCACACUGGGACUGAGACACGGCCCAGACUCCUACGGGAGGCAGCAGUGGGGAAUUUUGGACAAUGGGCGCAAGCCUGAUCCAGCCAUGCCGCGUGCAGGAAGAAGGCCUUCGGGUUGUAAACUGCUUUUGUACGGAACGAAAAGGCUCUGGUUAAUACCCGGGGGUAAUGACGGUACCGUAAGAAUAAGCACCGGCUAACUACGUG
rnacentral:rRNA from 1 species